rnacentral:misc_RNA from 3 species
AACGCAUCUUGCGCUCCUUGGUAUUCCGAGGAGCAUGCCUGUUUGAGUGUCAUUUGACUUCUCUCAACCACAUCGUCUUUUCAAUGUGGCUUGGAUGUGGGGGAAUUUCUUUGCAGGCUUUUUAUUUGUUUAAGAAGCCGGCUCCCCUGAAAUGCAUUAGUGGUGUCUGAGCUGCUAUUGGUGUGAUAAAUCUAUCUAUGCCUUUGGUGAUGCUGGUCAGCGCUGCUUAUAACAAGACAAAAAUUCAUUUGACAAAUUUGACCUCAAAUCAGGUAGGACUACCCGCUGAACUUAA